GUUUGAGCUCAGGUGGCCCUGGGUGCGGGCUUCAAACCCGUAGCGGCUGAGAAGCCGAGCAGUUCGAUUCUGCC
rnacentral:tRNA from 2 species